GGAGAGGUGAGGUCUAAGGUACAAAGGCGACAGGGGAGCACAGCUCACAUAAUGGGGAGUAUCUAGAGGUGGCCUUCUUUCUGGAUGUGACCAACAACAGACAUACUUACAGGGACAGCUGCUAGGAAGAAGGGCAAGGAAGGACAGGCAAAGGCAGGGAGAGCAGGAAGGCGGUGUCUGAGUGUGGACAGUGUGGAUCAGAGUGAGAACUAGAGUUCAUGUAAGGAGGAGGAGAAUGGAGCUACGAAGUGUACAGAGUGAGGCUCAGCAGGCAGAGUCACCCUGUGUUACAUGAAAGCCUUCAUCUGCUGGUAACACAGCCAAUCAGAAUGGCUGAAACAAUAAGGAAAUGUACUGACUGAUCCACUAGCUCAGUUAUGCCACAAGAGCCUAUAGUUAUGUCACAAGAGCCACAGUGCUGGGCUCCGCUGGGCUCCUCGUGUAGAUAUAAGAUGGCUACGGGAUGGCUGGAAAUCCAAUGACUAGCGGAGCAACUGAGACUCAGUACUUCCUUACUUCUCACUUGAGGAAAGACUGGAUUCCUGUGGUUCUCUGAAUGGCAAAGGAUAACUUCUAAGACCCUCUAACAAUCUUCUGCUUACAUCUUACGGGCCUGAAUUAAACAGCAUGCCCACUCCUGGGUCUGUUACUGGUGCCUGGCAUUUCCCAGGCCCAUCAGACUCUUGUUCAGAGCUGGGACAGCCCUCCUCAGGCACAUGGCGAGAAGUUCUACAGCAAAGACCUGACAACUCUAGAACCCCCCAGCCCUGGAACCUGGCUUUUCAGUUAUUUCAAAGCUCAGCUAAAUCCCAAAGUAGUUUAACUCUUCUUGCCUUGUGCCCGGGCCAUGUCAUGCAGGUAAGUUGCUCUCCUUGGGAUCUCCGGAUGGGUGCGGGGAGGACAGGAAAGAACUCUUUGUGCAGGGUGAGUGUAAAUUACCUCCUGCAGUUUGAAAGCCAUACUUCUCCUCUGUAG
rnacentral:lncRNA from 1 species